rnacentral:rRNA from 1 species
GACGAACGCUGGCGGCGUGCUUAACACAUGCAAGUCGAACGGAAAGGCCCUGCUUUUGUGGGGUGCUCGAGUGGCGAACGGGUGAGUAACACGUGAGUAACCUGCCCUUGACUUUGGGAUAACUUCAGGAAACUGGGGCUAAUACCGGAUAGGAGCUCCUGCUGCAUGGUGGGGGUUGGAAAGUUUCGGCGGUGGGGGAUGGACUCGCGGCUUAUCAGCUUGUUGGUGGGGUAGUGACUUACCAAGGCUUUGACGGGUAGGCCGCCUGAGAGGGUGACCGGGCACCAUGGGACUGCGAUACGGCGCAGAAUCCUACGGGAGGCAGCAGUGGGGAAUAUUGCACAAUGGGCGGACGCGUGAUGCAGCAACGCCGCGUGCGGGAUGACGGCCUUCGGGUUGUAAACCGCUUUCGCCUGUGCCGAAGCGUGAGUGACGGUAAUGGGUAAAGAAGCACCGGCUAACUACGUG